rnacentral:rRNA from 1 species
GACAGAGGGUGCGAACGUUGCUCGGAAUUACUGGGCGUAAAGCGCACGUAGGCGGCUUCUUAAGUCGGAGGUGAAAUCCUGGAGCUCAACUCCAGAACUGCCUUCGAUACUGGGAGCUCGAGUCCGGGAGAGGUGAGUGGAACUGCGAGUGUAGAGGUGAAAUUCGUAGAUAUUCGCAAGAACACCAGUGGCGAAGGCGGCUCACUGGCCCGGUACUCGACGCUGAGGUGCGAAAGCGUGGGGAGCAAACAGG